rnacentral:rRNA from 2 species
UCUGGUGUCAGCCGCCGCGGUAAAACCAGCACCUCAAGUGGUCAGGAUGAUUAUUGGGCCUAAAGCAUCCGUAGCCUGCUUUGUUAGUUUUCGGUUAAAUCCAUACGCUCAACGUAUGGGCUGCCGGGAAUACUGCAAAGAUAGGGAGUGGGAGAGGUAGACGGUACUCGGUAGGAAGGGGUAAAAUCCUUUGAUCUAUUGAUGACCACCUGUGGCGAAGGCGGUCUACCAGAACACGUCCGACGGUGAGGGAUGAAAGCUGGGGGAGCAAACCGGAUUAGAUACCCGGGUAGUCCCAGCUGUAAACUAUGCAAACUCGGUGAUGCAUUGGCUUGAUGCCAAUGCAGUGCCGCAGGGAAGCCGUUAAGUUUGCCGCCUGGGAAGUACGUACGCAAGUAUGAAACUUAAAGGAAUUGGCGGGGGAGCACCACAAGGGGUGAAGCCUGCGGUUCAAUUGGAGUCAACGCCAGAAAUCUUACCCGGAGAGACAGCAGAAUGAAGGUCAAGCUGAAGACUUUACCAGACAAGCU